rnacentral:rRNA from 1 species
CCUACGGGCGGCAGCAGUGGGGAAUAUUGGACAAUGGGCGAAAGCCUGAUCCAGCCAUGCCGCGUGUGUGAAGAAGGCCUUCGGGUUGUAAAGCACUUUCAGUGGGGAAGAAAGCCUUGGGGCUAAUACCCUCGAGGAAGGACAUCACCUACAGAAGAAGCACCGGCUAACUCCGUGCCAGCAGCCGCGGUAAUACGGAGGGUGCGAGCGUUAAUCGGAAUUACUGGGCGUAAAGCGCGCGUAGGCGGUCUGAUAAGCCGGUUGUGAAAGCCCCGGGCUCAACCUGGGAACGGCAUCCGGAACUGUCAGGCUAGAGUGCAGGAGAGGAAGGUAGAAUUCCCAGUGUAGCGGUGAAAUGCGUAGAGAUCGGGAGGAAUACCAGUGGCGAAGGCGGCCUUCUGGACUGACACUGACGCUGAGGUGCGAAAGCGUGGGUAGCAAACAGGAUUAGAUACCCGAGUAGUC